rnacentral:ncRNA from 2 species
AUUUCGAUAAUGGGGAGCUUGUGAUGCAGGCUGAGAGGGAACCAAAAGUUCCGACCCAAAACCUGAUUUGGAUAAUGCCAACGUAGGGACAGAUAUUUUGAGACAC